rnacentral:rRNA from 1 species
GACGAACGCUGGCGGCGUGCUUAACACAUGCAAGUCGAACGGUGAAGCUCCAGCUUGCUGGAGUGGAUCAGUGGCGAACGGGUGAGUAACACGUGAGCAACCUGCCCCUGACUCUGGAAUAAGCGCUGGAAACGGCGUCUAAUACUGGAUACGAGAAGGGUCCGCAUGGGCACUUUCUGGAAAGUUUUUCGGUUGGGGAUGGGCUCGCGGCCUAUCAGCUUGUUGGUGAGGUAAUGGCUCACCAAGGCGACGACGGGUAGCCGGCCUGAGAGGGCGACCGGCCACACUGGGACUGAGACACGGCCCAGACUCGUACGGGAGGCAGCAGUGGGGAAUAUUGCACAAUGGGCGAAAGCCUGAUGCAGCGACGCCGCGUGAGGGAUGACGGCCUUCGGGUUGUAAACCUCUUUCAGCAGGGAAGAAGCGAAAGUGACGGUACCUGCAGAAGAAGCACCGGCUAACUACGUG